rfam:Myotis lucifugus cont2.23919, whole genome shotgun sequence.
CUCAGGUUGGGGGGGCCCUCAGCCCGGAUUGCAAGACAGCGCAGGCCAGGCUGAGGGACCCCACCAUUCCACG